UGAUCGUUUAUCAUCAGCGUGCAAGAGGUAUUUCAAGGUCUUAUUUCCAGGUUCCAUGUUUUUUAUCGUUGUAUUUGAUGUUAUUUCCUUCGACAGGCCAUUGAUAAUGUUAAUGAGAGUAUAUCUCCCAUACUUGCUCCUCAGAGAAUAUGAAAUUUCACGAAUGAACACGGUAUAUCUAUUCUUGAUGAGGAGUUUUAUCUUUAGCAUCAAAGCUAGUAGUGAACACUUACUUAUAAGAUCUGGAACGAAUCCUAUUUUGAAAAUAUUAUAGAAGACCUUUUCAGGAAUGGGUCCUAGUGGAGUACCUAAAAACAUUCGAAAGGUAGCCCGAAAAGCCCUGGAGAUUUCAAUUGACUAUCAUAUUCUCAGCUCUUUGAAUAUUUUGGAGGAUUUGCAUGCUAUUUAUCGAAAUUCCUCUAUGUGACAUUCCUUAUUGGCUUGAGCGUAAAUAAAGGUUUUGAAACUGCUAGAGGCAUUUACUUAUUGAUGAAUAACAAUACAUACAUGUAAGAGCUUUUGAAUACAAAUUAAUGGAUGUUUUAAGAAUUUUCUAAAAUAUUGAAACUCUGAAAUAGUUCAAGUUGGAAUAAAGAGCACCUGAGAUGAUACCCCCAAAUGCAUACAAAACCGAGUUAACAAUUAGACCCUCGAGUCGGAGUUUCAAUCAGUCAAUGUUUCAUUCUUCAGUAGUUAACACCACUAAAGCCAUGCCUCCAGUUCCAAAUAAUAAAGUUGUUAAAAGCAAGAAAUUUCAUGUUGGUAGAUAUAAGAAAAGACAGCAUAGACGUCGGGAAUUCGCAUCAAGUAAAUACAACACCGAUAACCGACUACAAAGAACCUCUUUAUAUUCAUCCCCUUCAACAUUGUCGACACUUGGAUCGGAUAUUAAUUGGCUAAAAAAUGGAAUGGAUACAAAUCCGCGAAAGAGCCAUCCCAGUCCUUGUCUGAGCAAAAGGCGAAAUCUGAAACAACAACUGAGAAGAAAUCCAAGAGUUGGGCGGAAUGGAAAGAAAAGGGAAAUGUAGAAAUCGAAAUAAAGACAUGCAGAUCCCCUGCCAUAAAAUUUGAUACUCCACUCUAUGAACUACAAUCUCCAAAAGAUAUUCCCUUUUUUGAUCUCUCAUCUAAUGAAGAGAAUUGGAGAGAAUUUAAGACUCUGAAGGGGAAAUGCAACAAUGACAUAAUAACAAGAAUUCCUUUAGUAAAGAAUCUUGUUCCAUCCUGUCAUGACGCUACUGUAAAUGACAUAUACAAUUUGAACGGUAGUAUCCAAUGUGGUGUUUGUGGGAUUCGUUUUUCACUUGAGG
rnacentral:lncRNA from 1 species